rnacentral:rRNA from 1 species
UGGGGAAUAUUGCACAAUGGGCGCAAGCCUGAUGCAGCCAUGCCGCGUGUAUGAAGAAGGCCUUCGGGUUGUAAAGUACUUUCAGCGGGGAGGAAGGUGUUGUGGUUAAUAACCUCAGCAAUUGACGUUACCCGCAGAAGAAGCACCGGCUAACUCCGUGCCAGCAGCCGCGGUAAUACGGAGGGUGCAAGCGUUAAUCGGAAUUACUGGGCGUAAAGCGCACGCAGGCGGUCUGUCAAGUCGGAUGUGAAAUCCCCGGGCUCAACCUGGGAACUGCAUCCGAAACUGGCAGGCUUGAGUCUUGUAGAGGGGGGUAGAAUUCCAGGUGUAGCGGUGAAAUGCGUAGAGAUCUGGAGGAAUACCGGUGGCGAAGGCGGCCCCCUGGACAAAGACUGACGCUCAGGUGCGAAAGCGUGGGGAGCAAACA